GUUUAGUUUAAUUUCCAUAUACUGUCCGGUCUGCGCAUGUGCAGACACAUUUUGUUCUGAAGGCGCCAUGACGGGGGUAUUGUACCUGAUGCACUCUUUUGAAUGCUGCAUCCAGCUAUGGAUUUUCGGUUAUUCUCAUAUCUGAUUGUCUUGGUGUGAUGUGGAACCAAACCUAAUUCUUUGGGGAGCUCAUUGUUUUGCCUGUGCAGUGGCCUUUUUCAGCAGGAUAAUGUGUCCUGCCAUGCUGCAAAAAUUGUUCAGGAAUGGUUUAGGGGUGGAAGAAAAUAUCGAUACACGGGCUCCAUCCAUUUUCUACCGCUUAUCCGGGGCCGGGUCGCGGGGGCAGCAGUCUAAGC